rnacentral:rRNA from 1 species
CGCGUAGGCGGAUUUUCUAGUCAGGCGUGAAAGCCCCGGGCUCAACCCGGGAACUGCGUUUGAUACUGGAAGUCUAGAGUUCUGGAGAGGGUGGUGGAAUUCCCAGUGUAGAGGUGAAAUUCGUAGAUAUUGGGAAGAACACCGGUGGCGAAGGCGGCCACCUGGCCAGACACUGACGCUAAGGCGCGAAAGCGUGGGGAGCAAACAGGAUUAGAUACCCUGGUAGUCC